CGAUUGACGUUACCCGCAGAAGAAGCACCGGCUAACUCCGUGCCAGCAGCCGCGGUAAUACGGAGGGUGCAAGCGUUAAUCGGAAUUACUGGGCGUAAAGCGCACGCAGGCGGUCUGUCAAGUCGGAUGUGAAAUCCCCGGGCUCAACCUGGGAACUGCAUUCGAAACUGGCAGGCUAGAGUCUUGUAGAGGGGGGUAGAAUUCCAGGUGUAGCGGUGAAAUGCGUAGAGAUCUGGAGGAAUACCGGUGGCGAAGGCGGCCCCCUGGACAAAGACUGACGCUCAGGUGCGAAAGC
rnacentral:rRNA from 1 species